rnacentral:snRNA from 1 species
UGCUAACGCAAUGUGAUUU